rnacentral:rRNA from 1 species
UACGGAAGGCAGCAGUGGGGGAAUAUUGCACAAUGGGGCGCAAGCCUGAUGCAGCCAUGCCGCGUGUAUGAAAAAGGCCUUCGGGUUGUAAAGUACUUUCAGUCGUGAGGAAGGUGUUAAGGUUAAUAACCUUAGCAAUUGACGUUAGCGACAGAAGAAGCACCGGCUAACUCCGUGCCAGCAGCCGCGGUAAUACGGAGGGUGCGAGCGUUAAUCGGAAUUACUGGGCGUAAAGGGCACGCAGGCGGUUAAUUAAGUUGGAUGUGAAAUCCCCGGGCUUAACCUGGGAAUGGCAUUCAAGACUGGUUAGCUAGAGUCUUGUAGAGGGGGUAGAAUUCCAUGUGUAAGCGGUGAAAUGCGUAGAGAUGUGGAGGAAUACCGGUGGCGAAGGCGGCCCCUGGACAAAGACUGACGCUCAUGUGCGAAAGCGUGGGGAGCAAAACAGGGAUUAGAUACC